AUUGAACGCUGGCGGCAGGCUUAACACAUGCAAGUCGAGCGGAGAUGAGGUGCUUGCACCUUAUCUUCGCGGCGGACGGGUGAGUAAUGCUUAGGUAUCUGCCAUUUAGUGGGGGACAACAUUCCGUAAGGAAUGCUAAUACCGCAUACGUCCUACGGGAGAAAGCCGGGGAUCUUCGGACCUUGCGCUAUAUGAUGAGCCUAAGUCGGAUUAGCUAGUUGGUGGGGUAAAGGCCUACCAAGGCGACGAUCUGUAGCGGGUCUGAGAGGAUGAUCCGCCAAACUGGGAAUGGGACACGGGCCAAAAUCCUAAGGGAGGGAGCAGUGGGGGAAAUUGGAGAAAGGGGGGAAAGCUGAACCAGGCAAGGCGCGUGGGGGGAGAAAGGCUUAUGGAUGUAAAGAACUUUUAGCGAGGAGGAGACAACUGAGAAAGAUACUCUUGGAUAGUGGACGUUACUCGAAGAAAAAGCACCGGCUAACUCUGUG
rnacentral:rRNA from 1 species